rnacentral:rRNA from 1 species
UACGUAGGUGGCAAGCGUUGUCCGGAUUUACUGGGCGUAAAGGGCGUGCAGGCGGUUUGUUAAGUGCAGGGUGAAAGCUCCCGGCUCAACUGGGAGAGGUCCUUGCAUACUGGCGAACUCGAGGGAGGCAGAGGAAAGUGGAAUUCCCGGUGUAGUUGGUGAUAUGCGUAGGAUAUCGGGAGGAACACCUGUGGCGAAGGCGGCUUUCUGGGCCUUACCUGACGCUGAGACGCGAAAGCGUGGGGAGCAACCGG